GAACCAAUUGAUUGGAGGUUGCAUGCAGUAGGCGGAACCUGGACACGCUCAACAUCCCACAUUCAAUAGAUUAUGAGCUACAUUUUUAUAGUGAACACAUUACAUUUACACAGCAAUUGAGAAGGAGCGCACACGGAUCUCAUAAUAUAUUGUUUGCCGUAUAACAGGUAACGGAGUGAAGAGCCACAAGACAGAAAAAACAGCAAAGAAGCAGAUGCAAGAUUCGUGUGGAGAUAUUCGGACUGAGUUCACAUUGGCACACUAGUUAUUUCUGACUCCUGAAGGAAAAGAAGAAAAGAAAAGAGGACAUCAGACACACACACACACACACACACACACACACACACACACACACACACACACACACACACACACACACACACACACACACACACACACACA